CGGACGGGUGAGUAACGCGUGGGUAACCGUGCCUUGUACAGGGGGAUAACAGUUGGAAACGGCUGCUAAUACCGCAUAAGCGCACGGCAUCGCAUGAUGCAGUGUGAAAAACUCCGGUGGUAUAAGAUGGACCCGCGUUGGAUUAGCUAGUUGGUGAGGUAACGGCCCACCAAGGCGACGAUCCAUAGCCGACCUGAGAGGGUGACCGGCCACAUUGGGACUGAGACACGGCCCAA
rnacentral:rRNA from 1 species